rnacentral:rRNA from 1 species
UACGGGGGGGGCAAGCGUUGUUCGGAAUUACUGGGCGUAAAGGGCGUGUAGGCGGCCAACUAAGUCCGACGUGAAAUCCCUCGGCUUAACCGGGGAACUGCGUCUGAUACUGGAUGGCUUGAGUUUGGGAGAGGGAUGCGGAAUUCCAGGUGUAGCGGUGAAAUGCGUAGAUAUCUGGAGGAACACCGGUGGCGAAGGCGGCAUCCUGGACCAACACUGACGCUGAGGAGCGAAAGCCAGGGGAGCAAACGGG